AAGAACAUCCUGAGUGGAGCACGGGCUGAAGCCUGUUUGAGGACAUCAUGCAGGGGGCUGAAGUGAAUGAUUGAUAAGGGAGGGAAUGUGGGGGUAAUGUUCAGUUGGCACCACUCUGCAGUCUCCUCCGAAAGUACUAACCAGGUAAAAAUUAGUAGCCACACGCCCACUGGGCAUGCUUUUAAGAGGUGAUCCCUUUGAGGAAAAAGUAUAAAAAUAAAGCAAAUUAAAUGACUGUUGGGGGGAAUUCCUUAAUUAACGCUUAAAGAAGCAAUGCUGCUAGACAGAGUAGCCAAAACUCUGCUCCAUGGGCUCAACUAGGUGUGUGACCAGAGGGGUUUCCAGGCAGCCAAGGCCUUACCUCAAGAGAAUCUGAGACAGACCAGAGGGCUGCAGAGACCGGACCUGAAGGGAAGAAGUCGUCCGUAGAAUUGGUAACCACCACCUCUGUUUGUGAAAGAGAGACUCGCUAAGGGGAAGCUGCUUCUGUGGCCCCAUUGUCAGGUACUUCCUUACAGAGAAAAGCCUGGACAGGAAAGAAGGAAAAGAAACCAGCUUAGCUGCCUCCACCAGAGGCUGCUGCUACAUCACUGGAAGAGGAAAGAGGAACUGAACCUCAGGGAUUGGAGCUGUCAGCCAGUGGGGCCAAUGGGAGAUGUCCACCAAGACAGUGGAGAAGACAGUGUAUCCACAGAAGAAGAGAACCUAAUUUGCAGCUGCAAAUUUUUCAACCAUCCCUCCUCCAUCCCAAAGGCUAGCACAGAUAAGGCGGAGG